CGUGAUAUUUUGAUAAAUAGUGAUGAAGAGCAAGUCCAGGAGCAAAAUAGAGCUGUUGCAUUUGGUAAUGGCCUAGUUAUUAUCCCAGAAGAUGAUUACAAAUGGAAAAAAUAUGGACAAAAGUAUAUUAGAAGUAUACAGAAAAAUAGAAGUUAUUUCAAAUGUGUGAACAAGAACUGUAAGGCGAGGAAGAAGGUGGAGUGGCCACCAAAUGAUCCAAAUAACAUAGAUAUAGCGUAUGAAGGAGAUCAUAAUCACAGAGCCUUAGUUGGUCAUUUAGAGAAUGAAGAAGCUGGAAUAGCAGCUAAUCAAUAUGAUUUAGCAACUCAGCUGUUUGGAUCUGCAAGGGCUUAGGCUCCAUUUGAGACGACUUUUUUACUACUACUUAAAGUAGUUUUUUAGUAUAAAAAUUAUUAUUUUUUUACUAAAAAGUUACUUUAAAAACAGUAAGAAAGUUGUCUCAAACAAAAUUUUAAUUAGCUCUUUACUAGUUUUUUGCGGUAUGAUUGAACAGUAAUUGCACUUUCAUGCUUAUAUAUAAUGCGUACUUUGUUAUACAAGUUUUCAUUAUCAGCUCAGACUUCAUUAAUAUUUAAUGUGUAAAUUGUUGUGGAAUCUGUACUGAUUUGCGGGGUUAAUUUCUGCUUUGGGUUAUGAAUUAUGAUAGUUCAUGUC